CAAACCUAAUAAAUUUUGCUUUUGGAUUAUUAUAUUUUCAAAUCCUCGUGGCACAUAGGGGGUUAACAAAUGGAGUGCUUAAAUCAGGAUCAUCUGCCUUGUUUGGUGGAUGCUGCAUAGAAUGCGCAUAUGAUCCUGUUCAGGCUUGCAAUGCAGUUGAUAUGGUCCCACAAUGCUUGCAGGAUGAAAAGCCGGUAGAAUGCCCCAGCAGAUGUCCUGUGGAUGCAUAAGUCUUUUGUCCCUUUUCUCCGCAUUCUUUCCUGUUCUCAGUGUUAAGCAAAAUCCUGCGUGUCUAACUUGCAUUCUAUGCUUGCUUCAUUAUCAUUUCUUGCUUCCCAGUUUUAUGGAUAUGUUUUAUUUAUACACACUAUGUCUUGAGAAUUAUCUGAAGAAUGGAGGUACUAG
rnacentral:misc_RNA from 1 species